CAAUAUGCUUUUUUUACCAAAACAUUCACAAAAUGCUGGUAUCCACAACUCACAUUUUAUGUUUCAGAAUACUUUUCUUUCCAGUGUUUUCACAUUAUUAACUGAAAACCUGAAUGAAAAGCAGGCUUGCGGGCACCUCAUGUGGUCGUGGGGGGCUACCUGGUGCCCACGGGCACCACGUUGGUGACCCCUGUUGUAAAUGAAUCUUCGCUUGGAAGGCGAAGGACUGCAGCAACAUGUUUUAACAAGGACGAAAAGGCAUGGUCACAGGAGAAAAAAUACACGAAAUUAAAGAGAGGCCGCCUGAGGGAACCCAACCACCUCCUCAUGCACUCAUCCUGUGAUAUCAGCACACCUUCUGUACCAGUGGCAACAGGAGAAGGCACAACGAGAAGCAAGACUAACAAGGAGACGCCAAUUUGGAGGUGUUGAAGGGAUUUGGAGAGGGAUGGCUGACCUGACCAGAGGAGUGGAUAUAAAAGGAGAUGACCUCACCCGGACGCCAGGCCAGG